ensembl:lncRNA
CAUAGGCCCCAACCCAGCCCCAUGGCACCUCUCCAUCCCACUGAGCCGCAACCGCAACCCAGCCCCACAGCACCUCUCCAUCCCAUAGGCCCCAACCCAGCCCUAUGGCUCCUCUCCUCCCCCAUAGGCCCCAACCCAGCCCCAGAGCACCUUUCCUCCCCCAUAGGCCCCCACCCAGCCCCAUGGCACCUCUCCUCCCCCAUAGGCCCCCAACCAUCCCCUCGCCCACCUCCAAAGGACCUCAGCUCCCAUCUCUCGGCCUCCCUCCUCCCCCUCCCCACUCACGCUUCCCCAGGGCCCAUUCGAUAACGCGGGUGGGAGCCUGGAGCUCGAAGGCGUGCAGAGCCUCGUACCUACGAGGAGAAGAGGGCGGCGGUGAGAAGUCGGGGGGGGGGGAGGCCGAAGGGCCGAGGUCGGGGUCGCUCACAGGUGCAGGGAUUGCAGCAACCACUCUUCUUCCUCCUCCUCCUCACCACGUUCCCCCGCCGCCUCCAUGGCAACCGCUGCAGGGCGCGCACAGUACUGACGUCACGAUCGGCGCACUGUAGUGACGUGGCGCGGCGGCGCGCAGCAAUGACGUCGCAGCGGGCGGUUCGCGCGCUGCUGUGGGCCGUUUGGCGCCAGGUGGGUUCCGUGAGGGAGCGAUGGUGGGACGCGUUGUUAUGAAUCAGAGCGAAAUGCCCUCAUCUGUGUGUCCUGUCCUCACAAAACGACCCCAAUUCUCACCUAAAUAUUCACAUCGGUGUAUCCUCUCUUCAUAAGACCCAAAUUCCCACAUCUAUGUGUCAUCUCUUCAUAAACAAGGCCCAAAUUUCCACCUAAAUACCCACAUCUGUGUGUCCUCUUCCUAAAAAAGGCCCCAAAUUCCCACAUUUUCAUACCCUCUCCUCACAAACAGACCCAAAUUCCCCCAUUUAUGCAUUCUCUUCAUAAGCAAGACCCAAAUUUCCACCUAAAUAUCCACAUUUGUGUAUCCUCUCUUCAUGAGACCCAAAUUCCCACAUCUGUGUGUCAUCUCUUCAUAAACAAGGCCCAUUUCCACUAAAUACCCAAUUGUGUCCUCUUCCUAAAUAACACCCAAAUUCCCACCUAAAUACCCACAUUUGUGUAUUUUCUCUUCAUAAGACCCCAAAUUCCCACAUUUUCGUACCCUCUCCUCACAAGCAGACCCAAAUUCCCACACGUGUGUGUGUCCUCUCUUCAUAAACAAGACCCAAAUUCUCACCUAAAUAUCCACAUUUGUGUAUCUUCUCUUCAUAAAUACGACCCAAAUUCCCACAUUUAUGCGUUCUCUUCCUAAGCAAGACCCAAAUUCCCACCUAAAUAUCCACGUUUGUGUAUCUUCUCUUCAUAAAUACGACCCAAAUUCCCACAUUUGUGUGUUCUCUUCCUAAAUAACACCCAAAUUCCCACCUAAAUAUUCACAUCUUUGCAUCGUCUCCUCAUAAGAUCCAAAAUUCCCACCUAAAUAUCCACAUUUGUGUCUCCUCUUCCUAAAUAAGACCCAAAUCCCCACAUUUACGUCCUCUCUUCCUCAAUAAGACCCAAUUCCCACCUAAAUACCCACAUUUACGCGUCAUCUCUUCCUCAGUAGCCCCAAAUCCCCCCAUUUAUGUGCCCUCUCUUCUCAAACUCCCACACGCGGGUGUGGGGUUGCAUUCAGAAAUCCCCCAGCUGUCCCAUAUUACCACCCCAGCCCUUCACACCACGUCAGGGCUCUGAGAGGUGUCAGGACAGCGCAGGGACAGUGCCAGCAGCCCGUGGGGAGCCCACAAGAGGAUGUUUACCACCAUUAGAAACAGGAGGAAAAGCUUUAUUCCAGCAAAUCUAAACGUUGUUAUUUAUAACGAACGGAACGGACGGGCCAGGCCUGGGAAGCAGAGAUGGGUCCUUCAGAGCUCUCCGGGCUGCAGCCAACCCUUGGGCUCCUGCAUCCUGCACAGCUCAGGAGGGCUUCUAUGCAUCUCCUGGGCUCUCCUGAAAGACAAAGCGUGGUGUCAGUGUGGUUUAUCACGCCUCGUAUGGCAUGACAGUUCUGGGGAUGCCACAUCUCAAGGGAUGAACGCAACCACUGGAGCAGGUUGCCCAAGGAGGCUGUGGAUGCCCCAUCCCUGCAGGCAUUCAAGGCCAGGCUGGAUGUGGCUCUGGGCAGCCUGGGCUGCUGGUUGGCGACCCUGCACAUAGCAGGGGGUUGGAACUGGAUGAGCACUGUGGUCCUUUGCAACCCAGGCCCUUCUAUGACUCUAUGAUAUGCCACGAUUCCCUGUCUGUGCCUCUAAGUUCACUUCUCUGUGAGCCACAGAGGACUUCUUCAGAGCCUAUGUGUUGAGCCGAGAUCGCUGCUGCUCUUCUUUUCUCUCAUUUUCCAGUUCCUUGCCUGCUUUCUCUUGCAACUAGAAGAGAGAGGAUUUAUAUCUUCCUUCCAGCCAGCUCAUCCAUGGGAAAGCUGAUCUGAUGCAACAGCAGCAGCUUUGCUGUAGUUCGGGAACGAAUGCUUUGUUUGGGCUCCGUGCAGCUGUGCUGUCACGCCAACGUCGGCUCUUGGAGCAGCCGGCCCGAACGCACUUCUAUAUAUAGGAACCCGGUGUUCCUACAUUCAACUUCUCUUUGGGCCCAAACCAAAACAGCUUUCUGGGGAUACUGAGGAGCGUUUGUAUCCUUCGGGUGCGUCCUCACCUCUCAGCUCGCAGCACCGGCAGAACCGGAGGAGCAAGAAUGGCUGGGAAAGGGCAUAGAUGGGAGGAGAGCAUCCAGAAGCUGCUGUUUCCCAACCCCCACCUCCCCCUCUCCCCCCCAACCCUCCAAGUGUGUUGGUUCUAAUGGAGAUGGGAGCACCGCUUACCUCUCCUGGAGGAGGAGGGGGAAGAGGAGGAGUGGGGUUAUUUCUUUUGUCCAAUCUUUGACGGCGCCACCUGUAAAAUAAAGCGCUCCGUGUCUGCUGGAGGGAGAUGUUGUGCAGGAUGAGAUGUGCUGCGGUUUAGGGCCAAAAGCGAAGCAGUGAGAGGAUGAGGCAGAGCUCUCCAAAAAUCUUUCUUUGCCCAGUUCUUUUCUCCACGGAAAGAAGGGGAAAUCAAAGGAAGGGGUAAAGGAACUAAGAGGGGAAAAAAAGGAAGAACCGAGUGGGAGAAGCAAAGGUUUAUGAAAGAAUACCCAGAAGUUAGACAAGAAUUCUCAUUUCAGAAUUGCAAUGGGAAAAAAAAAAAAUGCCAGAAUGGGUUAAAAGGGAUGAAGCUCUAGCAGCCAUUUCCAGGUAAGAAACAGCAGUGGGAGAGCUCUGUUUACAGCUCAGGACACGGUUGGUCGCAUUACUCCACAUGGAAAGAAAGCAUAGAACCACGGAAUCAUUGAGGUUGGAGAACACCUCUCAGGUCCCCACGUCCACCCGCAGCCCACCAUAUGCCCGCUGCCCACAUCCCUCAGUGCCACAUCCCCACUGUGCUGGGAAGCCUCCAGGGACGGUGACCCCAACCCUGGGCACCCUGAGAGCCUGGGGUAGGGAUUGCUGAUUGCUGGAGCACGCCUACCUGUGGAUAUACCGUACGAUUUCAGCCCUCUUGUACAGCACAAUGCCCGAAAUCAGGAUGAAAAGAAGCAGCGUUCCAACAGCUUUUACCGUAGCUCCGUACACUUGGAAAGGAAAACAAACAACAUGACACUCCGUGCACAUAAGACAUACUGGUUGGAAUGGCAGCUCGUCAGGUAUUCCCCAGUGCACAAAGGACCAGGAGCUCGUGUGCAUGCCCCAGGACACCUCCGUGAUGGCCUAGGUGGGCUCUGCCAGCGUUCUCUCUCAGAAGCAAGCAGAAGCCACAAGGCGUUCAUCGAGGAGGGUAAAGUGAUGCUAAGCAGGCCUGGGAACAGGAGCCUUUGGCACUGCAUUGUGAGGAGGUUGAGGAUGUCACACACGAGCAAGGCAGCUUCCCAGGACGCACGAGAAGGGCACGCAGGUGAAGGAACACCCAGAUGUAGCCAGAAGGCACGCCUGAGGAGCCAACACGGGGCACCAGCUGGAGCCGAAGCAUCAGCAUCAGCCAUUCCCCGUGGAUUGAGGAGCACAGCACAGCCCCUUGGGUCCCUUCGUCUCCAUGCAAAUGCCAGCGGGCCCAUUGCUGCUUCAUUUGCCAUUUGCCUGGCCAAGCAAUCAGCAGAAAGGGCUCAGAGCUCUUCAUCAUCAUCAGGACUGAUGGGCAGAGAGGGCCAGGGAAGAGCUUGAAAGCCAUCCGUGGUCAGGAGCUGGGGGUUGUGCAGCUCUGCUGAGUGACUGCGUGGUUUUGCUCAUCAGCAAGUCGUUACGCUUAAUAGAUGGGAAGGCAGAAGAGCAUCUCUCAGGGACCUGAAAGAAAACGAACGUUUUACGGCAUGAAAAACGCAGCAGCCGUGUGGUGGCCCCCUGCUUUCCCAGGGUGUCGGCCUCCAGCACUGCGUCUCAGGACCAGCAGAGGAGGGCAGGAUGGGACCCACACCCUGAGGCAAAUUUGUCACUCUCCUUUGGCAGCCACCGUUUAACCUCUGUGGUGUGCAGGUGGCAGAUGGGUGCCCCGGACACAGCUGUCACAAGCUGUGUGCUCGCUGUGUUGGUGACGUGAAGGCAGCAGCAGCUCCCCAUCCAUCCCUUCACCCUCUCGCUGUGAUGAUGGUCCUGCAGAGAGAGGCUGCAAACACAGCAGGAGGAGCUGAGAGCGCACAGAGGGUGAGGGAUGGCUGCGUUUGCCUUUCUCCGGCUUAGCAGGAAUGCUUUCUGCCCGUCUCUGUCCGUUUUCGUCUCAGCAUCAGAAAGCACUUGUGCAGCUUGCAGAUCUGCCCUCCUUUUGUGGAGGCUGUAACUGUUUCUGCCACGACAACGCAGCAUUUCACAAACGUGUCCCAGAUGAAUUUGUCACCUUCGUGUGAUUCGAAAUGAAGAUAAAGACAGGCAAAGGUGAUGGCAAAGCUCUCCUUUAGCAUCCUCUCUGACACGCAGACAGACCUGCUCCUCUGCAGGGAUAUCUGUCUGGAAAGAGGGGCAGGUAUGGGUGGCAUCACCAAUAAACCCCCGUGUGAAGAAAUUCUGCCAGUGUUGCUGCCUGAAACGUGGGUUUUAUGUACGGCUGCAUCGAAACGCUGUGCAAAAUCUGCCGUUUCUGUGGCAUUUGCAAGGAGAGCAAAUACAGAGCAUGCAUUUUUCAGAAGAUCGCUCCGACUCUGGCUGAUUUAGAUUCAGUAGCACUGACAGCUGCACUGAAGGAUGAAGUGUUACGAUGCAGAAGUCACUUUUGCAGUGUUUGUGGGAAUGGAGAAGAAAAAUGGCAGAAGAGCAAUGAACACCGAGAUGGAGGGCUGCAAGCUGUCAGAGCAGGAUCCGGGGG